GAUUGAAAACAAGUUCAUCAUCCUGCAGAGGCUCCAGGCUGAGAAAGUCCAUGUGCUGCUGAGUUUUUGGCACAUUGUGAUGGGUUAACUUUUGUGGUGGGGUAGCUUUGGCAAACACCCAAAUUUCAAUUCAGCUGCUUAGUCAUAACCCCUCUCCAUGGGGAUGAGGAGAAAAUAGGAUAAGAAAGCUCAUUGGUCAACAUAAAGACAGGGAAAUGGCUUACCAGUUACUGUUGUAGGCAAUACAGACUUGACUUGGAGAAAGUUAACUUAAUUUAUUGCCAAUUAAAAUAGAAUCUGGCAAUAAGACACAAAGAAAUACAAAGAUAUAUCCUUCUGUCCCCUUCUUUUCUAUCCCCUCCCUUCUCCUCUCCAGACUCCUGAACUUGGUCCCCAGGUGGUGCCAGGGGACAGUUACUGUCAGAAUGUAGAGGUUCGGUGAUUUCUCUCUCCUGCUCUUUUCCCCUCACACUUUUCCUUUACUUUGAUGUGGAUUCUCCUUCCAGCCUGCAGUCCCUCAGGAAAUAUCUAUUCCUUCCUAGGCUCCCCGUGGGCUGCAGUUCCUUCAGGUGUACCUGCUCCUACUCUGACCUUGAUGUUCCCUCUGCUGUUUCUCAUUCCCUUCAGUUCUCCUCUCUGUGUUGCCUUAUCGCAGAGGCACCAUCUGAUGGUCUCGUCCGUGUCCUGCAGUGGGUCUGGUGGAGCCAGCUGGAGCUGGCUGUGUCUGCCAUGGGUCAGCUCCUCAUCUCUUCCCUCAGACUAAUCCCUGUAGUCCUGCCUCUGCCAACAACUUGCUGUGAACGCUCAACACCACUUUGAAGUUGUGGAGGAAGGAAAGUGUUUGUCUGUUUGUCUGUUCUGACCAGUUAGUUUGGAUAAUGGACAGUUUUGCUCACUGCACUGUAACUGUUCAAGACCUCUUCAUGAGAAACAGGAGAGCUUUUUGUAUUACUGGUAACUAGGUCUAAUUGUUUUAACUGUCCUGUUCAAUUCAAAGCAUGCAUUGCCUCACCCAGCCUGCACCCUUUGUCCUACUGUGUUCCAGGAGAGCUUUUGUUUGUCCUGCAGCCAUGGGGAUUUGGGCAGGUGGCACAUAGCUGCACUUCUUGGCAUUCCUAUCCGAAAGAACUCCCUGCUUUUCCUACUAAAAAAAGAUAUAGAGCUCUUUGCUAAAACGAUUGCCCAAGCACCCUUGGGUGAUUGUUUUAGAUUCUUCAUGAAUACCACUUUUUGAGCACUAACCUUCUAUCCAGACCACGCUGGAUUUAUUUGAGCUGUGGGAGAACAACUGGCAGACAGCUGAUGAAAGUGUUGCUGUGAGAUUCCCUGUAUCAGGAAACUGGAUCUCCAUCAGCAGAGGAAAGCCACACACAACAGGAAAAAUGGAGUGGAAGGUUAGAGCCCAUGCUGCAUCCUCUUCCUGUGGUCCUGAUGCUCUGUUUCUUUGAAUCCCUUCAGGCUGUGAGGUGAAGACGGACUCAUGGUGGGACUUUUGCAGAGGUGUGGAUUUGGGGCUAGGAGGCCCUGUACGGAAAAUAAGAGCGUUACACAGCACAAUUAGAAAGUUGAUGCCCAGUAGAGCUCUGUGGAGGAUCAUGGAGUGAUUCCUUGCCAAAGUGAACUAAAUCAGAAGUAACUCCAUUAAAGCAGGCAGAUCAAAACUGUUUGGAGGAGAUAAGAAGUGGGCCCUGUGUGGGAAAACACAAAGCACUUCAGGUAAUUGUGUGGAGAGCAGGGAGUAGGAAAAAAAAGUAAUAUCCUACCUGACAUAAAUCUUGAUAACCUGGAAAACUAGGUGAAAGCCAGGAAUGUAAACAUCUCAUCUUGAUAAAACAAAAAAACCCCAGACAAUCUCUUGACAUUUAAGGAAGACUUGAUCUCCUAGUGAUCUAAAUACUAAAGAAGACCUAACGUAUCUGAGUAUUGCUUGUAGAGAUUCCCCAGGGAAGGAAGAGCAUGCAUAAGAGCAAUCCUUUAGUGCUGGGGAGGAAGGGACUGCAGGCUUGGGAAACCAACCUGGAGGAAUCAGACAGAAGAACAAUGAUAACUUUUUAUUUCAUCCUGUGAAGUCAGUGGCCUGGACCUAGCUCCAUUGAUCAGAGCAUGUCUAAUAACAGUAAGGUUGUGGGUUCAGUCCCUGUAUACGUUAUCUACUUAAGAGUCGGGCUUGAUGACUCUUGUGGGUUCCUUCCAGCUCAGAAUAUUCUGUGAACCUGUGAAAAAUGUAUUCACAAAAAAUGCUCCUCCAGAAAAAGGAGGAUGAGUAUUAAUCUCCUGCAGAUCAAGGAAAUACUUUGGAAACAGAAGGCAAGUCCCCUGGGGUUUGGAUUCUAGAAACAAAUUCCUCUUUCCCCCAAAAAAAAAAAGAGACCCCUGAGCUGGAUUUAGUCCAUGGUACUACCAUUUGGGGACCAACUGUAAUCUGUUUAGGCACAUAUUCUGCAUUUGCAAGUGCUGGAAUCAAAUGCUAACAGUUCUCACUAGUGCAUAAUUAAAUUCUUAUUCCCAGUUGAAGCCAUUGGCAAAACUUUCCCUGACUUCAAUAGUGCUGGAUUAAGCUUUCAUUGAAUGUCAUGAGAAUUUGAAAAGAAAAAUCAAUCCAAAUCUUGCAAAGAGCUUCUUGUCUUUGUUGUGGAUCAAAUCAAAACCAUAAAGUAAAAAAAAACCCCAAAAUUUCACCAUGAAAUAAGAAUAAGGAAUCAUAAUGGUAUCCUGAAUAAUUUCUAGAAGGCAGACAAACUGAGUCACUUGGGGGCCUACAGUGAUAAUAAGAAUUGUGUAAGUACUGUGUAAUAAAAAAUGUUUCUUGGUUAGUCUGCUCCUUUUGGCACAGUCUUUCUGGCAGAAACAUAUACAUUUAUUUCAUUGUUGCUCAAGAGCUCCUAGUGAGUAAUUCCUGCUUUGCAGAUGGUAUAUGGUGUAGAUGAUUUUUCAAGUCCAAUUUCAAACUGUAGUGCUGUGGUUUAUCACAAAAUGUUUUGCUGUACUGUAAUGACAAGAACUCUAAGAAGCCAAUUUCCACUG